rnacentral:rRNA from 1 species
GACGAACGCUGGCGGCGUGCUUAACACAUGCAAGUCGAACGAUGAAGCCGGAGCUUGCUCUGGUGAAUUAGUGGCGAACGGGUGAGUAACACGUGAGUAACCUGCCCUUGACUCUGGGAUAACUGCGGGAAGCUGUAGCUAAUACCGGAUACGACCCUCGGAGGCAUCUCCUGGGGGUGGAAAGAAUUUCGGUCAAGGAUGGACUCGCGGCCUAUCAGCUAGUUGGUGAGGUAAAGGCUCACCAAGGCGACGACGGGUAGCCGGCCUGAGAGGGUGACCGGCCACACGGGGACUGAGACACGGCCCAGACUCCUACGGGAGGCAGCAGUGGGGAAUAUUGCACAAUGGGCGCAAGCCUGAUGCAGCAACGCCGCGUGAGGGAUGACGGCCUUCGGGUUGUAAACCUCUUUUAGCAGGGAAGAAGCGAAAGUGACGGUACCUGCAGAAAAAGCACCGGCUAACUACGUGCCAGCCGCCGCAGUAA